ACAAGCAGCGGAGCGUGUGGUUUAAUUCGAGGCUACACGAAGAACCUUACCAGGGUUUGACAUGCAAGUGGUAGGAAUCCGAAAGGUGACCCGACCUUCGGGGAGCUUGCACAGGUGCUGCAUGGCUGUCGUCAGCUCGUGUCGUGAGAUGUUCGGUUAAGUCCGCUAACGAGCGCAACCCUCGUCGUGUGUUAUACGUGUCACACGAUACUGCCGGUAUCAAGCCGGAGGAAGGUGGGGAUGAUGUCAAGUCAGCAUGGCCUUUAUAUCCUGGGCUACACACACGCUACAAUGGCAGAUACAAUAGGUUGCGAAACCGCGAGGUGGAGCCAAUCCUCAAAGUCUGUCUCAGUUCAGAUUGUAGGCUGCAACUCGCCUGCAUGAAGAUGGAGUUGCUAGUAACCGCAGGUCAGCUAUACUGCGGUGAAUACGUUCCCGGGGCUU
rnacentral:rRNA from 1 species